UACGUAGGGGGCUAGCGUUGUCCGGAAUCAUUGGGCGUAAAGAGCGUGUGGAGCGGUCCGGUAAGUCCGCUGUGAAAGUCGGGGGCUCAACCCUCGAAUGCCGGUGGAUACUGUCGGGCUAGAGUGCGGAAGAGGCGAGUGGAAUUCCUGGUGUAGCGGUGAAAUGCGCAGAUAUCAGGAGGAACACCGGUGGCGAAGGCGGGUCUCUGGGCCGAUACUGACGCUGAGGAGCGAAAGCGUGGGGAGCGAACAGG
rnacentral:rRNA from 1 species